rnacentral:rRNA from 1 species
AUUGAACGCUGGUGGCAGGCCUAACACAUGCAAGUCGAACGAGUGGCGGACGGGUGAGUAAUGUCUGGCAAACUGCCUGAUGGAGGGGGAUACCUACUGGCAACGGUAGCUAAUACCGCAUACCAUCGGAUGUGCCCAGAUGGGAUUAGCUAGUAGGUGGGGUAACGGCUCACCUAGGCGACGAGUCCUAGCUGGUCUGAGAGGAUGACCAGUCACACUGGAACUGAGACACGGUCCAGACUCCUACGUGAGGCAGCAGUGGGGAAUAUUGCACAAUGGGCGCAAGCCUGAUGCAGCCAUGCCGCGUGUAUGAAGAAGGCCUUCGGGUUGUAAAGUACUUUCAGCGGGGAGGCGUUACCCGCAGAAGAAGCACCGGCUAACUCCGUGCCAGCCGCCGCGGUAAUAC